GUGGGCGUAGUUCAGUUGGUAGAGCAGCAGAUUGUGAUUCUGUUUGUCGUGGGUUCGAGCCCCAUCGUCCACCCCA
rnacentral:tRNA from 1 species